GAUGAACGCUGGCGGCGUGCCUAAUACAUGCAAGUCGAGCGAACAGACGAGGAGCUUGCUCCUUUGACGUUAGCGGCGGACGGGUGAGUAACACGUGGGUAACCUACCUAUAAGACUGGGAUAAUUUCGGGAAACCGGAGCUAAUACCGGAUAAUAUUUCGAACCGCAUGGUUCGAUAGUGAAAGAUGGCUCUGCUAUCACUUAUAGAUGGACCUGCGCCGUAUUAGCUAGUUGGUAAGGUAACGGCUUACCAAGGCAACGAUACGUAGCCGACCUGAGAGGGUGAUCGGCCACACUGGAACUGAGACACGGUCCAGACUCCUACGGGAGGCAGCAGUAGGGAAUCUUCCGCAAUGGGCGAAAGCCUGACGGAGCAACGUCGCGUGAGUGAUGAAGGUCUUCGGAUCGUAAAACUCUGUUAUUAGGGAAGAACAAACGUGUAAGUAACUGUGCACGUCUUGACGGUACCUAAUCAGAAAGCCACGGCUAACUACGUG
rnacentral:rRNA from 1 species